UACAGAGGGGGCAAGCGUUGUUCGGAAUUACUGGGCGUAAAGGGCGCGUAGGCGGCCUGUUAAGUCGAACGUGAAAUCCCCGGGCUCAACCCGGGAACUGCGUCCGAUACUGGCAGGCUUGAAUCCGGGAGAGGGAUGCGGAAUUCCAGGUGUAGCGGUGAAAUGCGUAGAUAUCUGGAGGAACACCGGUGGCGAAGGCGGCAUCCUGGGCCGGCAUUGACGCUGAGGCGCGAAAGCCAGGGGAGCGAACGGG
rnacentral:rRNA from 1 species